rnacentral:rRNA from 1 species
GAUGAACGCUGGCGGCGUGCUUAACACAUGCAAGUCGAACGGUGAAGCGCCUUACUUUUCGGUGGGUGGGGGUGGGUGUCGAAAGGGGGAGUAACACGUGUGUAACCUGCCCCCUUUUUCUGGUUAACGGCGUGAAAGUUUGGAUAAUACGGGUUAUUCUGGGUCUGUCGCAUGAUGGGUCUGGUAAGGAUAUUGUUUCGGUGGGGGAGGGGCUGGCGGCCUAUGAGCUUGUUGGUGGGGUGGGGGCCUCCCACGGCGGUGCUGGGUAGCCUGCAUGGGGGGGUGGGCGACCCGACUGGAGCGGAGACCCGGCCAAGUCUCCUACGGGACGCAGCCGUGGGUAAUAUUGCACAAUGGGGGCAAGCAUGAUGCAGCGACGCCGCGUGAGGGAUGGAGCCCUGCGGGUUGUGAACCUCUUUCGCCAGUGAAGCAGGCCUGCCUCGUUUGUGGGUGGGUUGACGGUAGCUGGAUAAGAAGCGCCGGCUAACUACGUG